rnacentral:rRNA from 1 species
AACCUGGCGGUUCCCUACUCUCACAUGGGGAGACCCCACACUACCAUCGGCGCUACGGCGUUUCACUUCUGAGUUCGGCAUGGGGUCAGGUGGGACCACCGCGCUACGGCCGCCA